rnacentral:tRNA from 1 species
AGCUAGUGUGGGAUAGUGGUUUGAGUAUUGGACUAUGACUCUAGAGACCAGGGUUCUAUUCCCAGCUUGGCCA